CCAUGGCAGAGAAGAGACUGGGUGGUGAGGUUGAGAAGAAGGGAGAAAAGUGGGGCGGUGCGGCGACCCACGCAGGAGCUCGCCGGAGCCGGGUGACGAUGGACGGGCGCGGGAGACAGAAGGAUCCGGCGCGGCGGCGCGCACUCCUUGUAGUUGGAGGCGGGCCUUCAUGGCCGCGGCGCCCCUCCCCCCGCGACAGCUCAGGCAGCGGUCAGAUCCGCCCUCCCUCCCUCCCUCACUCCUCGCACUGGAAGACCUAGCCGCUGGGCCAUGGUGACCGACGGCGAUGAUGACGGUGGUGGCUACCUCGACGAUGGAUAAAAUCCGCUCCGCCCCUCCUCUUAUCCGUCGACGACCGCUUGAAUCCCGAGAGGAGAGGAGAGGAGUGGGAGAUCCAUGGCGGCGGAAAGAUCCGCGCCUGGAUCGGACCUGCUCGUCAAGGAGACCCACGCCAUGGAGCUGCUCGUCAAUGUUCCACCCUGGCACACAUCCAACAUCGCCAUGGACCAGUAGCUCAAGCCGUCUUCUUCCAGAUGGUGAUGGAGUUCCCUCACCAUCUGCAGGUCAUCAUCCUUAAGGGCUCCACCAUCUGCAGUGUCUACAGUGGACUAUUUGCAUCUUCAGUGCAAAUACCUGAUUGUAUAUGGAUGGAUUGUAGGGUCUAACCACCUUGAUUUGAUUCGGGCUGGAGCAGCAGCAGCAGGUCCUUCCUUCCAUGGAGGGCAUCCACAACAUGACCCGCACAAGGAGCUCCAAGCAG